AGUGAACGCUGGCGGCAGGCCUAACACAUGCAAGUCGAACGGUAGCACAGAGGAGCUUGCUCCUUGGGUGACGAGUGGCGGACGGGUGAGGAAUACAUCGGAAUCUACCCUGUCGUGGGGGAUAACGUAGGGAAACUUACGCUAAUACCGCAUACGAACUGAGGUUGAAAGCAGGGGACCGCAAGGCCUUGCGCGAUUGGAUGAGCCGAUGUCCGAUUAGCUAGUUGGUAAGGUAAAGGCUUACCAAGGCGACGAUCGGUAGCUGGUCUGAGAGGAUGAUCAGCCACACUGGAACUGAGACACGGUCCAGACUCCUACGGGAGGCAGCAGUGGGGAAUAUUGGACAAUGGGCGCAAGCCUGAUCCAGCCAUGCCGCGUGUGUGAAGAAGGCCUUCGGGUUGUAAAGCACUUUUGUUGGGAAAGAAAAGCGGUCGGUUAGUACCCGGUCGUACUGACGGUACCCAAAGAAUAAGCACCGGCUAACUUCGUGCCAGCAGCCGCCGUAACAC
rnacentral:rRNA from 1 species